AAGUCGUAACAAGGUAGCUGUAGGUGAACCUGCAGCUGGAUCAUUUCGAGAGUUUACGAACUCAAAAAAUAACCCUUUUGAUUCUUCACGGAAUCAAAAAAAUUGAGCCAUCAUUUUCACAAAUGAUUUACUCAGCUAAACGUCGGGGCUUGAGUCCUCAUAACUUUAGUUGAGCUUUGAACAACUCAUAACGGUGGAUGUCUCGGCUUCUCAAUCGAUGAAGAAC
rnacentral:misc_RNA from 1 species